rnacentral:rRNA from 1 species
AUGCAACGCGAAGAACCUUACCAAGGCUUGACAUAUAGAGGAAAAGCGUAGAAAUACGCUCCCCGCAAGGUCUCUAUACAGGUGGUGCAUGGUUGUCGUCAGCUCGUGUCGUGAGAUGUUGGGUUAAGUCCCGCAACGAGCGCAACCCUCGUCCUAUGUUGCCAGCACGUAAUGGUGGGAACUCAUGGGAGACUGCCGGGGUCAACUCGGAGGAAGGUGGGGGUGACGUCAAAUCAUCAUGCCCCUUAUGUCUUGGGCUUCACGCAUGCUACAAUGGCCGGUACAGAGGGCUGCAAUACCGCAAGGUGGAGCGAAUCCCAAAAAGCCGGUCUCAGUUCGGAUUGAGGUCUGCAACUCGACCUCAUGAAGUCGGAGUCGCUAGUAAUCGCAGAUCAGCAACGCUGCGGUGAAUACGUUCCCGGGCCUUGUACACACCGCCCGUCAAGUCACGAAAGUCGGUAACACCCGAAGCC